rnacentral:siRNA from 1 species
AGAGAUGUGAAUCCAUGUGCCUG